ACUAUCCAGGCAAAAGAAUAGGCUGAAGAUCAUGAUGUAGGUCAGAGCAGGUGUGCUCAGGGAAGGGUGUAAAAUGCUAGUAGACAGAAUGUAGAGGGACGGAAUAGCCUGGACAGAUGGAAGAAUUCUGAUGCUCCUGUUAAGCUGUUGAAAACAGUUGGCCCAUCCAGAUGGGCCCUGAUUUGAAAGACAGGCGCACCUGAUCUGGAUCCCCGU